UUCCUACGGGAGGCAGCAGUGAGGAAUAUUGGUCAAUGGGUGCGAGCCUGAACCAGCCAAGUAGCGUGAAGGAUGACUGCCCUACGGGUUGUAAACUUCUUUUAUAAAGGAAUAAAGUGAGGCACGUGUGCCUUUUUGUAUGUAUUUUAUGAAUAAGGAUCGGCUAACUCCGUGCCAGCAGCCGCGGUAAUACGGAGGAUGCGAGCGUUAUCCGGAUUUAUUGGGUUUAAAGGGUGCGCAGGCGGCCUGUUAAGUCAGCGGUAAAAGCCCGGGGCUCAACCCCGGCGAGCCGUUGAAACUGGCGG
rnacentral:rRNA from 1 species